AUACGGAGGAUGCAAGCGUUAUCCGGAUUUAUUGGGUUUAAAGGGUGCGUAGGCGGGACUGUAAGUCAGGGGUGAAAUACUGCAGCUUAACUGUAGCAUUGCCUUUGAAACUGCCGUUCUUGAGUACAGUUGAGGUAGGCGGAAUGUGGUGUGUAGCGGUGAAAUGCAUAGAUAUACCACAGAACGCCGAUUGCGAAGGCAGCUUACUAAGCUGUUACUGACGCUGAGGCACGAAAGCGUGGGGAUCAAACAGGAUUAGAUACCCUGGUAGUCCACGCUGUAAACGAUGAUUACUGGUUGUUAGCGAUAUAUAGCUAGUGACUGAGCGAAAGCAUUAAGUAAUCCACCUGGGGAGUACGGCGGCAACGAUGAAACUCAAAGGAAUUGACGGGG
rnacentral:rRNA from 1 species